UCUCUCAUGGACAUUAGGUAAGAUAUUCAGAUCUAAUCUUUUUGUUAGUCAGCUUUAUUUCUUUCUGACAACUGUUUUGGAGAAGCCUAGUGUGCUCUAUAUAUUUUCAUUUAUGUGAUCAUUUGAUGUCUACCCUGUUUGUCCCUAUAGCUGGGCUUUCCCUUAUCUUUUUUGGCCUAUGUGGUCAUGGAGUUGAUAUCCUUCUUAUUCGACUGCAAAUUCGUUAAUAGUCGAGUUUUAAAAAGGUUAGAAAAAAUGUCUGAAGCAGAAAAGUUUUUCCGCACCAAGUGGAAGGCGAUAACAUCCAAUUGGAAAACAGCGUAUAUUGAACCGAUAGUCUUGUGGAUAUCACUCGUUCUAUGUUGUGCAUGCGGCUAAAAAAUAGAGGGUCCUGAUAUUAUAUUAGCUAAGGCUGAAAACAAUGUAUAAGUACUUAUUUCUUAAAGAAUGUGAAUGACAUAAUUCAAUUUCAGUGUUAUUUCUUGGCACUUUCAGUGAGUAGUAACUCAGCUGGCAUGAAAUGAAUAGGGUAUAAGGGUACAUUUACCUAAUGAACGUGCACCCUUUUUUUUUG
rnacentral:misc_RNA from 1 species